rnacentral:rRNA from 1 species
UACGAAGGGGGCUAGCGUUGCUCGGAAUCACUGGGCGUAAAGGGUGCGUAGGCGGGUCUUUUAAGUCAGGGGUGAAAUCCUGGAGCUCAACUCCAGAACUGCCUUUGAUACUGAGGAUCUUGAGUUCGGGAGAGGUGAGUGGAACUGCGAGUGUAGAGGUGAAAAUUCGUAGAUAUUCGCAAGAACACCCAGUGGCGAAGGCGGCUCACUGGCCCCGAUACUG